UUUUUGUUUUGAUUUCGGUUUUAGUUAUUUAUUUAGUGCACCAGGGCUCUUUUAAUCAUUUUCUGUUUUUCUUUAUAUACUUUCCAAGAAGAAGAGAAGCACAGAGACAGUUAGGACAUUUUAUACUACAGGAAGAGAAUAACAAGAUGUGUGAUACAGCACUAUUCCCUUUGCACCUUAGAACUCACCAGAGUAGUAUUUUCUCUCUGUGUGUUAACUUCGUCUUCCAUCUUCAGCCACAAAGUGUUUCAUUGCUUCACAGCUGAAGUGUACAUUGUAGGACUGUUGCCCCCGAAGCACCUAAAAACUGAUUCUGGCUAAAUACCAACAAGGACUGCUAUUGGUGGAGUGAAAGCUGUCCCCAAACCACACCUUCAGAAGAAAUCAGUAUUAAACAUGAAAAAGCAGAAUAAAACAGAAGCACACCAGCAGAGCUAUGAAUCAGAGAAGUAUUGCAAGAAUCAGAGUGACCACAUGUAAGUCAAACCCAUUCCAGCCACAGCUAAUGAAAAAUACCUACUAACAGCAUUACUGACACAGUUUGUCUGCACUACCAUAAGGAAGGUGGUUCCCCUGAACCAGAGCUUGGAAUCUCCUGGGAAAACUUUUUGUACAUGACUGGUUUUAUAAAUUGUAUAAAUUGGCACCAAAGCUUACUUCAAAGGUUACUUCUCCGUAAUGGAAUUAUGAAGCAACUAAAUCUUUAAAUCUUUCGACCAUCAGGUAAGCCCUUGAGGCUAAAUCAUAGUUUUGUGACACGUUAAGAUGCUAACAUGUUAGUCUGUUAAAAAAUAUUUAUUUUUGCUCAUAGGAUUUGAUACUGAUCUCCAUUCAGGAAGGGCUGAAGGAGAAACUUGUGAAAAACAUUAGUUUUGAUUAGUACCAAAAUAACAGGAGGGGGUGAACUUUGAGAAAAGACCAAAUGGAAGUAAUAAAAAUACAUGAGUACAAAUACUGCAGAUGAGAAAACAUCGUGACGUACCUCUACAUCAAAAGAAUUCACUCCAACAGCAUCAGAAUAGAUUGUAAUUCAGCAGGCUGUCUCGUUCAGAUUGUUCAGAGUGUUUGCCUGAGCCAAACACUGAGUGUUAAAUGAACAUUGGAUUCAUAUGAAGAGCAGUGAGUGCUGUGUUUAAUGUGUAAUGGCAACCCCAAAAUGCAUUUAAUAUCUUGCACUUAUAACAAGAAGAAAACAAGCAAAAGCCAUCCUUUGGUACCAUACUUAUGAGACUUAUUCUACUUGUGCCAACCACUUUUCACUGUCUCACCACACUGCAGAUGUGCCACAGGAUGGCAAAGCAAAAGGUUCAGGGAAACGUAGAUGACUUAAUAAUUUUGGAUAUUCCUAAUGACUUCAUUCCCCCAGAAAGCUGAACCCAGAAGAGAGUUUAGAAAGCAAAGAAACUCCUGAAUAUAGUGAUUACAAGACAAAUGGCAUUACAUUUGACAGACAAGCUAUUUCUCAUUUAACCAGACCUAAUGAGUGGCACCCCUGCCCAUUGCAGGGGAUUUGGAAUUAAAUGAUCAUUAAGGUCCCUUCCAACCCAAACCGUUCUAUGAUUUGAUGAUUUCUUUUGUACUUCUUUGAAAGCCUUUUCUCUUGUAGUCCCAAGACUAGAAGAGCCUACAGAAAACACUUCCUCUAGGGAGGUUAUACUUUCUUGUGAUGAUUUUCCACCAAAUAUUCCAUUGUAAAUAGAUAAAAUAGCAUUGCACUCCUUUCACUAGCUCUGAGCCUCAACUAAGUUUUUUUUCCUGUGUGAAUGUAUGAAUAAAAGGCAUUAUUUACAA